UCUGGCUGAUUAAAUACUUUUUGCUGGGUCCUGUCGGUUUUUGAAGACGGUAACAGUUUAGAUCGUGGUGGGCAAACUAUGGCCUGCGGGCCAGAUCUGGCAGGCGAGCUGUUUAAAGCCAGCUCGCGAGCUCCUGCUAAGGAGCAGGGUCUGGGGCUUGCCUCGCUCCGGUGUGCCAGCCAGGGAGCAGGGUCGGGGGUUGCACCAUGCAGGGCUCCCGGAAGCCGCAGCAUGGCCCAGCUCCAGCCAGGGUGCAGGAUCGAGGCCUGCACCAUGUGGCUCCCAGAAGCCAAGGCACGGCCCCUCUCCAGCUUCUAGACGCGCCAAUGGCCCCCUCCGGUGCUUCAAUGGGAGCUGCAGGGGCAGUGCCUGUGGAUAGGGCAGCAUGCAGAGAUGCCCAUCGGCGCCUCCGCAUUGGAGCCAGAAAAGGGACAUACCGCUGCUUCCAGGGUCUGCUUGAGUGUUGCACCCUCAACACCUCAGUUUGGAGGUGGAAGAUGUGGCACGUUAAGAAUAAGUAAUCUCCCAAAGGGUUUUGAAAGGAUGGCUAUACAUUGCUUUGAAGAUAUACACAUGCUUUAAAAUGGGAGCUCCCGACUGACCUCACCGAGACUGGCCAGGAGCACCCACGUCUGCCCAGGUGUCCCCAACCAACCUAACCGAGGUCAUCCAGGAGCACCCAUGGGACGACAACGGCUAGCUGUUGUAUUGUACCAUCUGCAAGACAAGGCAAGGGGAU